GACGAACGCUGGCGGCACGCUUAACACAUGCAAGUCGAACGCCCCCGAGACUUCGGUCUCAAUGGGGGAGUGGCGAACGGGUGAGUAACACGUGAGAAACCUGCCUUGAAGAUCGGGACAACCACUGGAAACGGUGGCUAAUACCGAAUACCUUCCUACCGUCGCAUGGCGGUUUGAAGAAAUGCUCCGGCGCUUCAAGAGGGUCUCGCGGCCUAUCAGCUUGUUGGUGAGGUAACGGCUCACCAAGGCAUCGACGGGUAGCUGGUCUGAGAGGACGAUCAGCCACACUGGGACUGAGACACGGCCCAGACUCCUACGGGAGGCAGCAGUGGGGAAUCUUGCGCAAUGGGCGAAAGCCUGACGCAGCGAUGCCGCGUGGGGGAUGAAGGCUCUCGGGUCGUAAACCCCUUUCAGCAGGGACGAAAAUGACGGUACCUGCAGAAGAAGCCCCGGCCAACUACGUGCCAGCCGCCGCCGUAACAC
rnacentral:rRNA from 1 species